AGCGAACGCUGGCGGCAGGCCUAACACAUGCAAGUCGAACGAACCUUUCGGGGUUAGUGGCGGACGGGUGAGUAACACGUGGGAACGUGCCUUUAGGUUCGGAAUAACUCAGGGAAACUUGUGCUAAUACCGAAUGUGCCCUUCGGGGGAAAGAUUUAUCGCCUUUAGAGCGGCCCGCGGCUGAUUAGCUAGGUGGUUGAGGUAAUGGCUCACCAAGGCGACGAUCAGUAGCUGGUCUGAGAGGAUGAUCAGCCACAUUGGGACUGAGACACGGCCCAAACUCCUACGGGAGGCAGCAGUGGGGAAUCUUGCGCAAUGGGCGAAAGCCUGACGCAGCCAUGCCGCGUGAAUGAUGAAGGUCUUAGGAUUGUAAAAUUCUUUCACCGGGGACGAUAAUGACGGUACCCGGAGAAGAAGCCCCGGCUAACUUCGUG
rnacentral:rRNA from 1 species